GCAGAGGACCCUGAUCAGAGUGAGACGUC
rnacentral:piRNA from 1 species